AUUGAACGCUGGCGGCAGGCCUAACACAUGCAAGUCGAGCGAGCGGCGGACGGGUGAGUAAUGUCUGGGAAACUGCCUGAUGGAGGGGGAUAACUACUGGAAACGGUAGCUAAUACCGCAUACCAUCAGAUGUGCCCAGAUGGGAUUAGCUAGUAGGUGGGGUAAAGGCCCACCAAGGCGACGAUCAGUAGCGGGUCUGAGAGGAUGAUCCGCCACACUGGGACUGAGACACGGCCCAGACUCCUACGGGAGGCAGCAGUGGGGAAUUUUGGACAAUGGGCGCAAGCCUGAUCCAGCCAUGCCGCGUGUCUGAAGAAGGCCUUCGGGUUGUAAAGGACUUUUGUCAGGGAAGCGGUACCUGAAGAAUAAGCACCGGCUAACUACGUGCCAGCAGCCGCGGUAAUAC
rnacentral:rRNA from 1 species